rnacentral:rRNA from 1 species
UACAGAGGUGGCAAGCGUUGUUCGGAAUUACUGGGCGUAAAGGGCGCGUAGGCGGCGUGUCAAGUCAGGCGUGAAAGCCCCGGGCUCAACCUGGGAACCCACGCUUGAGACUGGCAUGCUCGAGUUCGGGAGAGGAUGGUGGAAUUCCCAGUGUAGAGGUGAAAUUCGUAGAUAUUCGCAAGAACACCGGUGGCGAAGGCGGCCAACUGGUCCGGAUCUGACGCUGAGGCGCGAAAGCGUGGGGAGCAAACAGG